GAUGAACGCUGGCGGCGUGCCUAAUACAUGCAAGUCGAGCGAACAGACGAGGAGCUUGCUCCUCUGACGUUAGCGGCGGACGGGUGAGUAACACGUGGAUAACCUACCUAUAAGACUGGGAUAACUUCGGGAAACCGGAGCUAAUACCGGAUAAUAUAUUGAACCGCAUGGUUCAAUAGUGAAAGACGGUUUUGCUGUCACUUAUAGAUGGAUCCGCGCCGCAUUAGCUAGUUGGUAAGGUAACGGCUUACCAAGGCAACGAUGCGUAGCCGACCUGAGAGGGUGAUCGGCCACACUGGAACUGAGACACGGUCCAGACUCCUACGGGAGGCAGCAGUAGGGAAUCUUCCGCAAUGGGCGAAAGCUUGACGGAGCAACGCCGCGUGAGUGAUGAAGGUCUUCGGAUCGUAAAACUCUGUUAUUAGGGAAGAACAAAUGGGUAAGUAACUAUGCACGUCUUGACGGUACCUAAUCAGAAAGCCACGGCUAACUACGU
rnacentral:rRNA from 1 species